rnacentral:tRNA from 1 species
GGAGAGGUGGCAGAGUUGGUCGAUCGCGCUUCCCUGCUAAGGAAGUAUACGGGCAACCGUAUCGUGGGUUCGAAUCCCACCCUCUCCGCCA